UACGGAGGGGGCUAGCGUUGUUCGGAAUUACUGGGCGUAAAGCGCACGUAGGCGGCUUUGUAAGUUAGAGGUGAAAGCCCGGGGCUCAACUCCGGAAUUGCCUUUAAGACUGCAUCGCUAGAAUUGUGGAGAGGUAAGUGUAAUUCCGAGUGUAGAGGUGAAAUUCGUAGAUAUUCGGAAGAACACCAGUGGCGAAGGCGACUUACUGGACACAUAUUGACGCAGAGGUGCGAAAGCGUGGGGAGCAAACAGG
rnacentral:rRNA from 1 species